AGACAAUUAAGACCAAGAAAGGCUAUCGGAAAAUCAUAUAAAGUUAUCAUAAGCAGAAAGGUAUUUGAUGAGCUCAUCAAGGAAAGAAAAGUUAUGAUGACCCAAGAAUCAAAACAUUUUUUAAGAGAAAGAAAGAAAAACCAAAGGAGAACUUAUAAAAUUAAUGCAGGAAGUACCAAAAAAUGGACAUCACCAAUCCUUGCAUAUUAAAUCAUUGAAGAGCAAGGGAUCACCUGUUAUUUCAAGUGAUUAUAACAAAAAAGAAUUUAUUAAUUUUAAUAGAAUUAAUUUAUUUUUAAAUCUUUAUUUCUUAUUUUAAAUGUUCUACCUAACAAGAAGAUCAAGUCUUUUCAACUCUGUAUAAUUUUGUUGACUUGCUAAUUUUUCAGUGACUAUAAAUUAAUUAUUCUAUUUGCUGUUUAUUAUUUUGUUUUGUUGUUCCAAACCUAACAUAUCCUUUACCAUCAUGUAUAGUGUACUCAAAAAACUUUGCCAAAAAACUUUCGAAGUAAAAGUUAUUUCCUAAAAUUAGGUCUGAUUAAAAAUAUUUCAAACUGAGGAGACAAUAUUUUUAGCAUAAUGAGGUGC